ACCACAUAGGCUGUGACUACAUCAUCUUCCAAUGCAGAUAUUAGGUAGAUCCAUCAAUUGUUUGAACACAAUAAAUCUUGGAGGAGAAACACAUACGUCCUGUAAACCUAAGGUAAUGGUAGCCACCCAGAAUUCAGUACUGUAAUUGCUAUGAAAGAGAUGCCAAAGGAGGAAACAAUAAUGAAGAUAAUAACUAGAAACAAUAAUGGAGAUAAUAACUAAUGAACACCUGUACAGAGCUCUCUGCUUUGUAUACAAUUGUCUUGAAUAUUACCUCAUUUGAUCUCCUCAGCAAUCCUAACAAGGAAUCAUUACUGUUGUCCCAUUUCACAGAUGAGGGCACUGAUGUUAAGUGAGGUACCCAGGAUCAAAGGGUGCUGGAGAGUAGACUCAGGUCUUCUGAGUUCCUAUCCUACACUCCUUCUAUGGCUCAGCUCUACAGCUACUCAAAACAAAACUUUUAACCUGGGCCUGGUCUAUGUGUUCACAGUGGGUUGAAAUUCAUUACCAAGUCACACAUGAUAUGAACCAAGGCAAAGGUUAACAGCUCCAGAGUGGUGUCAUGUAUCCCAGUAAGCAGAGCAUAAAUUUGGAGGGCCAAGAGAGGGCAGGGUGAAAAGCUGGCACAGGGACACCCUACUUCUUACUGCAGAUCCUAGUUAGAGUUCUCCAGCCUUCCCUAACUGUCCUUUUGCUUGAUACCCAGCAACUUGUGCUAUGCCUGGCUCCUCUCGUUUCUUCUGUCACAAUGGAGUCCCAGCUGUGGUCCAGGCCCUGGGAAUACAGACAUGGAUGAUAUGCCUUGCCUCUGGGUUUGUCUGACCCUCACCCUGAGUCAUGAUGGAGCCUCAUCUCACCUCCAUGACGCAUCCUACCUGGCUGUCCACACUGCCUAACCUGGCUUCUUCCAGGGAGGACUAGACGGUGCUAUCUUUACUUGUGAUGCUGUGAAUUAACAUGCUAUUGAGAAACCUCUCCCCGGGCUUUUAAAUGGCACCUCCAGUGUAGUGAAGAGAGGAGUCGCUUUCAAACAAGGACAACACUGAACCAAAGCUGUAGAAAAACAAGAUGGAUGAGACGUGGCCCCUGACCUUCAGGCAGGGACUCGGCACACUGUAGGAUAAAACUCUGGUUUAACUGUUGCUGAACGAGGAGAACACCAGCCACAGAGGACGAGGCCAGCAGACCAUCGCUGGAUAUUCUUAAGGCAACUGAUUCAAGGGAACAUUCCACACUCUGAAACCAAGGAGUCUCCAGAAAUAAAGAGUAUUUCCCUGAAAUUCGGCCAUUAAAUGAAGGAUUGACCUUUUACGUGUUAGUUAAAUUAAAAAGAAGAACUAACAGCAUGUGCUUCAAAGUUGGAGAACACAGUCUGUGGGGAGGGGCUGUCCUCCAGGCAAGGGGCAGAGUUGACUCCGCGUUAAAGGGUGGGAAUAUCUUUGUUCUCAGACCUUUCCCUUCCCCAAUUCCCAUCUUACAGAACCAUAGAAGUUAGAGGUAAGGGGGAUCUUGGAGUGUAUUUUGUCCAGCCCUUCCAUGUCACAGCAAGAAAACACAGGUUCCGAGAUUCACGUACUCUCCGAGCGGCGAGUCACAGCUCUGCCCUGCCUGCUGCUAAUCUGACAAACAAAUUCUGCUGAGUG